UCAAGAAUCGUUCUGGUUGGGCGAAGUUCUCUUGUACGUUAUCCUCUGCGCAUGUUUAAACACCGUUAUAAGCAUACGUUUGUGAGGUAUAUACCCUGCACAAUUAUUCCCUAUACCAUUACGGAUACAACCUUGAGAGGAAUCGCGCAACAUAUUUAGCCUAAUAUCAUCGCAUUGCAGAUCAAAAUUGUCUGCGGCGGGAAAUCAGUUGAGGCCUGCUGAUAACACUGGGACACCUAUGCAAAGCGUAAAGAAAUCAGAAGUGCCGAGUAAUCAGUUGAUGUCUGAUGACAACAAGGAGACGACAAUGCAGAGCGAUUGGGAACAUUUAUCUCCUGAAGUCACACCACAAAACGUAACUGCAGAUGGUCCUUCCAGCUUUCCUAUGUCAUGUAAGAAAAAAUAAGAAAAUGUUGUGUAACUCGUGUUUUCAUGGACAUAAACGUGGCUCUGUGUCUCGUGGAUCGUGCUACCAAAUCAUCCAGUCUUCCCAGGAAAUGUAUCUAUUUGUUUCCAGGGGUAUUUACAUACGCCAUCAAGUCGUCGUUAGAACGCUUGCUUGGCAUACCCCCAUCCAUCA
rnacentral:lncRNA from 1 species